AUUACAUUUGCCUGUUCAAACCACGAUAUUAUUUUUUAUUACAGUGGCAACCAAAAGAACACGCCACACUACUACCACAAAUGUCGCACAUGAGGCUGCUGGUGCUGCAGGUUCAUCCCGCCAUCACCCAACUGCGCAAAUGCACACAAGCCAUGGAACAGCCACGCGGAAACACGUGGCACAUAAAAGACACCGUCCAGAUCUGCCGACACCACAAGCUGCAUCUCCCCAACACGACGCAUCUCUACGGUUGCAUCAAAGCCACCGUCCAAUUUGUUGGCACCUUCACCAACACCUGAACCACAGUCCCCUCAUCUUCCUAAUGAUGCCAGCAUGACACCGGCACACCAGCCAUCUGAUAUGGAGGACACUUUUGUGCUUGACCUGCAGCCAGUAGGCACCACCAGACCAAGCACGCCACCUAUGUCUAUGCCUCUGCCAACAACUCCUCCACAACCACAAAUGAGCCCAGCCACACCACAGCCACAAAACCCAGAGCAGGCAUUUUGGGACAGCUGGGCAACACAACAGUCGCACAAUUUAGUCUGUCUUCGCAGACAAACUCAACUGCUUUCAAGUCUGCCACAUUACCUGCCGAGAAUCAGUCGCACUAUGAGCCGACAAAAUUUAGAGAUGAGUAGAAUAUCUACUUGUAUGGAGCAAAUGCGGGCUGACAACAGCUACAUGAUGAACACUUUGGACCGUAUUAUGGAUGACUAAAUGAGGCAGCACCAAAAUUACCUCAAUCUGCUGGAAACAAACAAUAGGCUUACUGAAAGCCUAGGAAGAAUCAUUGAGAACACCACGGCAUCAAAUAAUCAACUUAACACCACACUUACUAAUCUCAGCCACAAUAUAACUUUACUAAACACACAACAAGCGAGCACCAGCUCUGGAACAACCACCCCUAUAAAUACUCCUGUUACCUCCCCAGGAAGGAGAUCAGGCAGAAGAAGAUGGAAUGUGCCUGGCCCAGCUCUAAGGGAUCUCAACAAAAACAAUCUAUUCCGCUGCAGCUGUAAUCUUGUUAGGGGGCUAAACAAU